CUGGCCUUUUCCCCUGAAAUUGUUAAGGUGACUGCUGGGCAGACGUGAUGUCCUCUCAGUGACCACACAGCACGUCCUAAGCCCAGACCACUGUGUGCUUCAUGAAAGAAGCUUGACCAGCUUAGAAACACUUGACCAAUGUUCCAGCUUCCAAAGCUUAAUGGAAACAUAUGGCUACCCAUCACUGGAAGGUUAUCUCAACUGGCCUUUGAAGGGUUAUUUUGAAGACAUUCUUGGGAAGAAAAGCUGCCUAAAAAUGUGAAGCACAAUUGGAUUUUUGCCCUUGGGAGA
rnacentral:lncRNA from 1 species